CCUACGGGGGGCAGCAGUAGGGAAUCUUCCGCAAUGGACGAAAGUCUGACGGAGCAACGCCGCGUGAGCGAAGAAGGUCUUCGGAUCGUAAAGCUCUGUUGUUAGGGAAGAACAAGUACGGGAGGAAAUGACCAUACCUUGACGGUACCUAACGAGGAAGCCACGGUUAACUACGUGCCAGCAGCCGCGGUAAUACGUAGGUGGCAAGCGUUGUCGGGAAUUAUUGGGCGUAAGGCGCACGCAGGCGGCAUUUUAAGUCGGAUGUGAAAACUUGCGGCUCAGCCGCAGGCGGUCAUUGGAAACAGGGAGAUUUGAGUGCAGAAGAGGAAAGCGGAAUACCAACUGUCGUGGUUAAAGGCAAAGAAAAGAGGACGAACACCAGUGCAGAAGGUUGCUUUCUGGCCUGAAGCAGACUCUGUGGAAAGAAAGCGUAGGGAGAAAACAUCGUUAGAUACCUGGGUAGUC
rnacentral:rRNA from 1 species